UACGGAGGGGGCUAGCGUUGUUCGGAAUUACUGGGCGUAAAGCGCACGUAGGCGGCUUUGUAAGUUAGAGGUGAAAGCCCGGGGCUCAACUCCGGAAUUGCCUUUAAGACUGCAUCGCUAGAAUUGUGGAGAGGUGAGUGGAAUUCCGAGUGUAGAGGUGAAAUUCGUAGAUAUUCGGAAGAACACCCGUGGCUAAGGCGGUUCUCUAGUACGGUACUGACGCUGAGA
rnacentral:rRNA from 1 species